rnacentral:rRNA from 1 species
AUUGAACGCUGGCGGCAGGCCUAACACAUGCAAGUCGAGCGGAUGAAGGGAGCUUGCUCCUGGAUUCAGAGGCGGACGGGUGAGUAAUGCCUAGGAAUCUGCCUGGUAGUGGGGGAUAACGUCCGGAAACGGGCGCUAAUACCGCAUACGUCCUGAGGGAGAAAGUGGGGGAUCUUCGGACCUCACGCUAUCAGAUGAGCCUAGGUCGGAUUAGCUAGUUGGUGGGGUAAAGGCCUACCAAGGCGACGAUCCGUAACUGGUCUGAGAGGAUGAUCAGUCACACUGGAACUGAGACACGGUCCAGACUCCUACGGGAGGCAGCAGUGGGGAAUAUUGGACAAUGGGCGAAAGCCUGAUCCAGCCAUGCCGCGUGUGUGAAGAAGGUCUUCGGAUUGUAAAGCACUUUAAGUUGGGAGGAAGGGCAGUAAGUUAAUACCUUGCUGUUUUGACGUUACCAACAGAAUAAGCACCGGCUAACUUCGUG